GCCUGAUGACUCAUCUGGGAAUGAGGACGCACUGUCGAUGCGUUUGCUGCGAGUUCGAAUCUCGUAUUAGGCGCCA
rnacentral:tRNA from 1 species